ACGUAGGUGGCAAGCGUUGUCCGGAAUUAUUGGGCGUAAAGAGCAUGUAGGUGGAUACUUAAGUCUGUUGUGAAAAUGCGGGGCUCAACCCCGUAUUGCGAUGGAAACUGGGUGUCUUGAGUGCAGGAGAGGAAAGGGGAAUUCCCAGUGUAGCGGUGAAAUGCGUAGAUAUUGGGAGGAACACCAGUGGCGAAGGCGCCUUUCUGGACUGUGUCUGACACUGAGAUGCGAAAGCUAGGGGAGCGAACGG
rnacentral:rRNA from 1 species